CGGCAGGCUUAAACAUGCAAGUCGAGGGGUAACAGAGGAGCUUGCUUCUGCUGACGACCGGCGCACGGGUGCGUAACGCGUAUACAAUCUGCCUUUUACUAAGGAAUACCCCAGAGAAAUUUGGAUUAAUGCCUUAUAGUAUAUCGACUUCACAUGGAGAUGGUAUUAAAGAUUACGGUAAAAGAUGAGUAUGCGUCCUAUUAGCUAGAUGGUGUGGUAACGGCACACCAUGGCUACGAUAGGUAGGGGCCCUGAGAGGGGGAUCCCCCACACUGGUACUGAGACACGGACCAGACUCCUACGGGAGGCAGCAGUGAGGAAUAUUGGACAAUGGAGGGAACUCUGAUCCAGCCAUGCCGCGUGCAGGAAGACGGCCCUAUGGGUUGUAAACUGCUUUUAUACAGGAAGAAACAGUUCUACGUGUAGAACCUUGACGGUACUGUAAGAAUAAGGAUCGG
rnacentral:rRNA from 1 species